rnacentral:rRNA from 1 species
AUUGAACGCUGGCGGCAUGCUUUACACAUGCAAGUCGAACGGUAACAGGGUGCUUGCACCGCUGACGAGUGGCGAACGGGUGAGUAAUGCGUCGGAACGUGCCGAGUAGUGGGGGAUAACGCAGCGAAAGUUGUGCUAAUACCGCAUACGUACUGAGGUAGAAAGUGGGGGACCUUCGGGCCUCACGCUAUUCGAGCGGCCGACGUCUGAUUAGCUAGUAGGUGAGGUAAAGGCUCACCUAGGCGACGAUCAGUAGCGGGUCUGAGAGGAUGAUCCGCCACACUGGGACUGAGCCACGGCCCAGACUCCUACGGGAGGCAGCAGUGUGGCAUUUUGGACAAUGGGCGAAAGCCUGCUCCCGCCAUGCCGCGUGUCUGAAGAAGGCCUUCGGGUUGUCCCUCCCUUUUUUCAGGGCGUCCAUCCCUCUUUCUCCUCCCACUGGGGGAUGACAGUACCUGAAGACUAAGCACCGGCUAACUCCGUGCCAGCAGCCGCGGUAA